rnacentral:rRNA from 2 species
AGAGUUUGAUCCUGGCUCAGGAUGAACGCUAGCGGCAGGCCUAACACAUGCAAGUCGAGGGGCAGCACGGUGUAGCAAUACACUGGUGGCGACCGGCGCACGGGUGCGUAACGCGUAUGCAACCUACCCAUAACAGGGGGAUAACACUGAGAAAUUGGUACUAAUACCCCAUAACAUCAGGACCGGCAUCGGUUCUGGUUGAAAACUCCGGUGGUUAUGGAUGGGCAUGCGUUGUAUUAGCUGGUUGGUGAGGUAACGGCUCACCAAGGCAACGAUACAUAGGGGGACUGAGAGGUUAACCCCCCACAUUGGUACUGAGACACGGACCAAACUCCUACGGGAGGCAGCAGUGAGGAAUAUUGGUCAAUGGACGCAAGUCUGAACCAGCCAUGCCGCGUGCAGGAUGACGGCUCUAUGAGUUGUAAACUGCUUUUGUACGAGGGUAAACGCAGAUACGUGUAUCUGUCUGAAAGUAUCGUACGAAUAAGGAUCGGCUAACUCCGUGCCAGCAGCCGCGGUAAUACGGAGGAUCCAAGCGUUAUCCGGAUUUAUUGGGUUUAAAGGGUGCGUAGGCGGUUUGAUAAGUUAGAGGUGAAAUACCGGUGCUUAACACCGGAACUGCCUCUAAUACUGUUGAACUAGAGAGUAGUUGCGGUAGGCGGAAUGUAUGGUGUAGCGGUGAAAUGCUUAGAGAUCAUACAGAACACCGAUUGCGAAGGCAGCUUACCAAACUAUAUCUGACGUUGAGGCACGAAAGCGUGGGGAGCAAACAGGAUUAGAUACCCUGGUAGUCCACGCAGUAAACGAUGAUAACUCGUUGUCGGCGAUACACAGUCGGUGACUAAGCGAAAGCGAUAAGUUAUCCACCUGGGGAGUACGUUCGCAAGAAUGAAACUCAAAGGAAUUGACGGGGGCCCGCACAAGCGGAGGAACAUGUG